rnacentral:rRNA from 1 species
AGUGAACGCUGGCGGUAGGCCUAACACAUGCAAGUCGAACGGCAGCACAAGAGAGCUUGCUCUCUGGGUGGCGAGUGGCGGACGGGUGAGGAAUACAUCGGAAUCUACUCUGUCGUGGGGGAUAACGUAGGGAAACUUACGCUAAUACCGCAUACGACCUACGGGUGAAAGCAGGGGACCUUCGGGCCUUGCGCGAUUGAAUGAGCCGAUGUCGGAUUAGCUAGUUGGCGGGGUAAAGGCCCACCAAGGCGACGAUCCGUAGCUGGUCUGAGAGGAUGAUCAGCCAAACUGGAACUGAGACACGGUCCAGACUCCUACGGGAGGCAGCAGUGGGGAAUAUUGGACAAUGGGCGCAAGCCUGAUCCAGCCAUACCGCGUGGGUGAAGAAGGCCUUCGGGUUGUAAAGCCCUUUUGUUGGGAAAGAAAUCCAGCUGGCUAAUACCCGGUUGGGAUGACGGUACCCAAAGAAUAAGCACCGGCUAACUUCGUGCCAGCAGCCGCCGUAA